rnacentral:rRNA from 1 species
UACGAAGGGUGCAAGCGUUACUCGGAAUUACUGGGCGUAAAGCGCACGUAGGCGGAUUGUUAAGUCGGGGGUGAAAUCCCGGAGCUCAACUCCGGAACUGCCUUCGAUACUGACGAUCUUGAGUCCGGGAGAGGUGAGUGGAACUGCGAGUGUAGAGGUGAAAUUCGUAGAUAUUCGCAAGAACACCAGUGGCGAAGGCGGCUCACUGGCCCGGUACUGACGCUGAGGUGCGAAAGCGUGGGGAGCAAACAGG